rnacentral:rRNA from 1 species
UACGUAGGGUGCAAGCGUUGUCCGGAAUUAUUGGGCGUAAAGAGCUCGUAGGCGGUUUGUCGCGUCUGCUGUGAAAACUCGGGGCUUAACUCCGGGCCUGCAGUGGGUACGGGCAGACUAGAGUGCGGUAGGGGAGACUGGAAUUCCUGGUGUAGCGGUGAAAUGCGCAGAUAUCAGGAGGAACACCGGUGGCGAAGGCGGCUACCUGGACAGAAACUGACGCUGAGGCGCGAAAGCUAGGGGAGCAAACAGG